GGAUAUCCAAAUUAUAAUUUUUCAACUGGAUUUUUACAUAUUUUAUAUUAUUUUGGUGGCAACUUGUAAUUUUCUACAUCGAAGUGUAUGCACUGUUGCUAAAUUUUACUAGACAAAUUUACCUCAACCCUAAUUUUCAACCAGCCAUUCUCUCUGUCUCUCUCUCUCUCCUCCCUGCUCUCAACCCGUCUCCUCCUCCCUAACCCAGCCUCCAGCUUCCUAUCGACCCCGACGGCCAGCCAACUGGUGGUUUGCCACCGGCAACGUCUGCCACCUCUCAUUCGUCUCCCUCUUUCACCCACUCUCUAACCCUCUACGCCUCGCUCCUCACUAUCUCUUCUCUCUGACCUAACACGAAGAUUGGGGAUAGAAAAAUCUUUGGGGUCUCUCUCUAAAAGCGGCUGGAACAUUCUCGAACUCUGAUUUUCAGGUAUGUGCUUUGUAUUUCUCUUUUUUCAAUCAAUUUCUCUGCAUUUGGUUUUGAUUCUUUUUGUUCUUUGUUUUUAUUCUGAUUUCGAUUGUGAAAUCGAAUUUCUACUUUGAAAUUUCAGUUUUUAGGUUUAUGAUUUAGAAUUUGAGGUUGGGAUUUAGGGUUUAGGGUUUGAGGGAUGCGAGUUGGGUUUGAAAUUUCUGAAAAAAUGCAGCUCUUUCUGUAUUUCAAUUUUUCCCGUUUCGAUUCGGGAUUAGUAAAAGAGCCGCAUAAGUAAAGUGUGUGUAGUGAAUCUAGUGAUUGUGUCAAAUGAAUAAAGACUCGGAAACAGCAAGCAGGUUCUUGGAUGGACUAUCAUCUUUAUUCAAAUCAACCAAUGCUGAUAACAUUGACGAGGGCGAAAUUCUUCUUGUGGAAGGUUUGUUGUUUUCCUACUGGACUACUGCUACAAGGUAAAACUUUUCAGAUAUCUUGACAUAGUUUUUAAUCGAAUGUAGAGUUUUCUCUUAUGCCUAGACUUCAUCACUAAACGCCACUGUUUCCUAGGAUGGUCCUAUAUUCUCAAGUUUGUAAUAGAAAAUUUUCUUUUUAGUGUUGUGUAGCUUGACGUAUUAGAAUAAAGUUAAAGGUCGCUGUUUUGCAAAUAUAUGUAUUACGAAUCACAUUAAUCUUCUUCAUCAAUGCUUACUGGGUUUAUACCUUUCUUCGAAUCGCAUUAAUCUUCUUCGUCAAAGCUGACUGGGUUUGUACCUUUCUUCUUUUAGGCCUGCAGUUUAUCCAAGUAUACAAUGGUGGCUUCGGGAGUGGUAUCUCUUCAUAUGCAGCUUGUGAAAGUUCACAAAGUUACUAAGGUGGCUGAGAAGAUGAGCCUGUUUGAGCAAUACAAGGUGGAAAGAGAGAGACCGCUGAACGUAAAGAGUUAUUGCACUAGAUGAGCAAUUCAAUUAUUGAGAUGAUUAAGCUCUUGGAAACAAAGGGUUCGAGGACUUUUUAAAGUUUGGUCCCAACAUUUGUACAAAAUUGUAUAAAAUAUCAGUUAUGCAAAUUUAUAGUUGCAUUCUUAUAUUUUAAUGAUAUAACAAUUUGUUUUCUCACCAAAAAUAGAAAAAGAAAUGUGAUACUCCAAUUUGGAUGCCCACACACAGGGCAUCCUUUUUGUUAA